rnacentral:rRNA from 1 species
UACGUAGGGAGCAAGCGUUGUCCGGAAUCAUUGGGCGUAAAGCGCGCGUAGGCGGCCCCGUAAGUCCGCUGUGAAAGUCAAAGGCUCAACCUUUGAAAGCCGGUGGAUACUGUGGGGCUAGAGUCCGGAAGAGGCGAGUGGAAUUCCUGGUGUAGCGGUGAAAUGCGCAGAUAUCAGGAGGAACACCCGUGGCGAAAGCGGCUCUCUGGGACGGUACUGACGCUGAGACGCGAAAGCGUGGGGAGCAAACAGG